AUAAAAGAAAAUUCCCGGGGUGGGCUCGCUAUUAAUACAAGGCUAUUGUGUACAGGCUAAUAUAUUAUGAUUUACCUUCCGCGUUCAACACUCGGUAUAUUUGAAAAAAAAAAAAACUUUGACAGAAGUGAGACACGAAGUUCCAGAAGCAUUUACGCAUGGUUAAAUUUGAGUUUAAAUCUUACGUUUUAAUUCAUCGAUACAAGAUAUUUUAACAGAUACCGGUACAAGAUAUUUUAACAGAUACAAGAUAUUGUAACAAUAUAUUUUAACAGAUACAAGAUAAUAUAUAUUAGGAGUAGGAUCAUUUAACUCGACUGAGUGUUGGAAGAAAACGUGGAGAUAGUAGACCUAUAUAAGUUUUUUGUGUGUAUUAUUAAUUACAAGCGGAGUUUAACUUAAGACAUCAGUGGAAAAAAGUAUCAUAUAUACUUGUAUGGCUAAAAUUUAACUAUUGAAUGAUGGGAUAGGUUGGUACGCGAUAACAGAAUCAAGAUGAGUAAACCAUCAUCAUCCCCAGAUUACGCCAGGAAUUCUCAAGUCAUCAAUAAAUAUGGAACUGUCAAAAUGAAAAGUAAAGUUUUAAAAAUAUGGACUAGCAGAUAUUUAAUACUAUGUAGAGAUUCACAAUUCGGACCCGCAUGCUUUGCAAGAUAUUCCUCAAAGAAAGCUUUUGAAGGGAAUAAAAUUGAGAAUAUAUAUCCUUUAGAAAGUAUAAACGUUAUACGAGGAAAGAUUGAUAAUAGAUGCGGUGUUGUGUUAGUUCUUUAUGAUAAUUCUAGAUUAGAGUUUAAAUGCAAAACAGCUGUUGAAGCGGACAGUUGGAUAUACUCUACAGGAUCUCUGUUGGACUCCGUGAGAAGAAACAGUGGCUCCACUUUUAUGGUAACAGCAUUUCCGUGUAAUGUGACAGAGGGUAAACGUAUAGAAACGAAACUAAUCGUAGACAGGGAUGGAGUAUCUAUGACAAGUUUAAAUGACAACCAACGGUAUUUUCGUUGGCCUUAUGAAGUAAUAAAAACCUACCAGAAUGAUGACACCAGUACAGUAUCAAUAGAAGUAGGAAGGUCUGCUGAAACAGGAACUGGUGUUUACCGAUUUUCAUCUGAUCAAGCUGUUAUUAUAGUUAAUAAAAUACAACACAUGUUAAGAACUCGUGAUAUGAAUGGAACAACUCCUUAUAUAACACCAGUGCGUGAAAUCGGAACUUAUAAUUAUCCUACUGAUGUCUCGUCCAAUACUCCAAAUACAUAUAUGGAAUUAAACGAUUGUGCUCCAUCUGGUGGCUAUAUUACUGCAGUUCAUGAAAUCCCGUCUAAUGAAUGAAGAUAUAAAUAAGGAGUAUACAGUGUCCAUCCAUGUUUUAUUCUAUAAACAACAUAGACCAGUCGCAUCACAUCUUUCUUCAAUCGGAUUAAAACACAGAUCCUAUUUUAUUUCGUUUUUUAUAGUUCAAAAUUGCGUCUUGCUUGUCUUUACUAUAUUAGGAUCUGGAAGAUUUGUUAUAUAACCCACGUUCUGGAUGAUGUGAGGGAUUAGCCAAUGAAAUGGGUCUGUUACGGCUAGUUUUUGGCGUGAGGUGCACGGAACUGUGGGUAACCCACUAGAAACAUCAACGCCGAUUGGUUAAUCAAAUGUCUGACAUCAUAGGGUCAAAAGCCACUUGUAUGACUUCGGACGCAACCUUCCACUACAACUAGUCAGAUCUUCAUGUAGUGUAGGCCAUCAAAAGUAUAAAAAAAAAAAACGAAACGAAAAAUAAAUCUGUAUUUGAAUCAGAUUAGUCUUUCUUGUAAAUCAUUAUUUUUUUUUCAUUUUAAAGGGACUAUCCCAAUUUGAACAGCGUCUAAAAAAUAAAAGUCUGAGUACGUAUGAAAGUUAAGCGCCAAAAUAUAGAGGAAUGGCGUAUUUACCUUGUCUUAAAAUCUCAGCUCAAAAUAUUGAGUCGUUCGGACGUGAACGUCAAAACUGCUUAUCCGGACACAUAACCCUUUUAAGAUUUCGGGUCAAUUUGUUCGUUUGGUGACCUAAUAUUCGAUUCCCGUUCCUUUAGAGGUCUAUACAAUGAAUGACCCAUGUGCUGUACUUGUUAACGAAAGGUUCAUUUCACUUACACAUUAUUUUUAUAAAAAAAGUCUGGUUUUAUCCAGAUACCGUAUAAUACAGCUUGGGACACUGACGGGUUUAAAUUGUUUGAAAACGUAUCACACAUAUUGAGUUAGUUGCUCGGCUCUAAGGUAGGGGAUUUUAAAGGAUUUUAACACAAAAUUAAGCACUUUUAUUCUCCAAAAUAUUAUCGGGAUUGGCCCUUUAAGUGAAGCCUGUAUUAUUAAAGGUCUGGAACUGUACAGCACAAUGGACGAUUACAGCUGGCCCUUGGAUCCAUUCCUAUAAUCUAUUAUUAAGGGAGAUCCUUUUAAACAUUGUAAUUAAAGGAGCUGGUCGAUCUAUUCCUAUCAUCUAUUAUUUAGAUAUCCUUUAAAUCAUUAGAAUUAAAGGAGUUGUAUAUAUUUGUUUACUAUUCACAUAUAAUGUAUCAUUUGCUUGAUAAAAUUAAUUGUACCUUGUGUUAAUAUGUUCAAUUACCAAUCAAAUGCCAAUCAAAGAAGAGACCUUUAGAUGUUUAUCAAUAUUCUUUUAUUGCUUAUUGCAGUGUACAUGCUCUAGGUUUUAUAUUAACCAUUACUUUGUCUAUUCUCAAAGUUUCAUACCAACUCUUGCUUUGUAUAUUCUCAAAGUUUUAUAUUAACCAUUACUUUGUACAUUCUCAAGGAUUUUAUAUAAACUACUACUUUGUACAUUCUCAAGGAUUUUAUAUAAACUACUACUUUGUACAUUCUCAAGGAUUUUAUAUAAACAACUACUUUGUAUAUUCUCAAGAUUUUAUACCAACCAUUACUUUGUAUAUCGGCCCUUACUUUGUACAUUCUCAAGGUUUUAUAUAUACCUGCCCUUACUUUGUACAUUCCCUAGUUUUUAUAUCAAAGCCAGAUUUUGUUUUAUUAAUAGUUCGCCACAUGUUGUGCUCUGUAUGAUAUAUUUUUACUGAUGAGUAUUUUUUUGUUAUUUUAGUUAUUGACUUUGAGCACGACUAUAUGUGGAAUUAGUGUGAUAUAAAUGGACUUGUUAUUAUUAUAAUAUUUAUUUUAAUAGUCGAAUUUAAUAAAAACAGAUAAUUUUUGC